GUGAGGAAUAUUGCGCAAUGGAGGCAACUCUGACGCAGCCAUGCCGCGUGCAGGAAGAAGGCGCUACGCGUUGUAAACUGCUUUUAACCGGGAAGAAACCCCAGGACGUGUCCUGGGUUGACGGUACCGGAGGAAUAAGCACCGGCUAACUUCGUGCCAGCAGCCGCGGUAAUACGAAGGGUGCAAGCGUUAUCCGGAUUCAUUGGGUUUAAAGGGUGCGUAGGCGGAGCGUUAAGUCAGUGGUGAAAUCCUGCAGCUUAACUGUAGAGUUGCCAGUGAUACUGGCGCUCUUGAGUGCGCUUGAAGUGGGCGGAAUGUGCCGUGUAGCGGUGAAAUGCUUAGAUAUGGCACAGAACACCAAUUGCGAAGGCAGCUCACUAAGGCGAUACUGACGCUGAGGCACGAAAGCGUGGGGAUCGAACAGGAUUAGAAACCCUAGUAGUCC
rnacentral:rRNA from 1 species